UACAGAGGGCCCAAGCGUUGUUCGGAUUCACUGGGCGUAAAGGGUGCGUAGGUGGUGGGGUAAGUCGGAUGUGAAAGCUCGGAGCUCAACUCCGAAAUGGCAUUGGAAACUACCCUGCUAGAGGAUUGGAGGGGGGACUGGAAUACUUGGUGUAGCAGUGAAAUGCGUAGAUAUCAAGUGGAACACCAGUGGCGAAGGCGAGUCCCUGGACAAUACCUGACACUGAGGCACGAAAGCUAGGGGAGCAAACAGG
rnacentral:rRNA from 1 species